UCCAGGCGCCCGCCACAACGCCCCGCUAACUGCUGCUAUCUUUUCAUAGAUAGAGGCCAAGGAUGCGGCUAAAUGUCUUGUAAUGCGCAGGACAGCAGCCUGCAACCGUCCAUUCAUUAGCUGGCUGGAACUGUCCAUCAUGAUCAUGCAGAGAAAACUAGAUUCCAACCUAAUUCAUCAUCUGUGUCAAUUUGAGGACAAAUAUGUCUUUCUUACUCAUCAGGAAGCCCAAGGUAAAGCUGGUAGGAAGUUCACGGACUGAGGAGGGAGAUCCAGAGUUGAGUUAAUUCUGUGCAUUUACACUGCUGCGGGGCGACUUCCACUUCUGCGGGAGCAGAAAAGUUAUGAAUGGUGCUCUUCCCAUCUCCUCCGCUCCUCCCACCUCCGCCUCGCCAGGGAAGCAGCUGUUUUCCAUUACAAAACAAGCUGACAAGGUGCUGGCUGGAGCAGAG